rnacentral:rRNA from 1 species
UUUAUCUAGAGAUAGCUUUUUCUAUUUGUUUUUUGGUUUGUGUGCCUUUUGCAUCAUGCUUAGUGGAUUAUUUUGAAAAAUAUUCUUUAACCGAAAGCUUUGGAUCCCGUUUACGAUUGUUUAGAACUAAAUUUAGUCGGGUAGACUUUUAUAAAUCGUAGUCGUGGGGUGAUAAAUUAAUCGUCGAAGCUUAUAACUGUUUUUCGGCUUGUAUUCUUUGAUUUACUUUUUUGGCUAUGAGGUCAAUUAAGCGUAUAUAUUUAUUUUUUGAUCAGGUUAAAAUAGGGUUAAAACUACCCAUUUUUAGUAAUUUUGUUACAAAUUUGGUUAAAUUUAUUUUAUAAAUUAUAGGUAUCAGAGGCCGUUUAUUAAAAUUUUUAGAGUGUAAAUUAUCAUUAAAUAAGUAAUAAAAAAUUUUUAAUUGUUUCUCAAGUUUUGCCCGUCUGUUUAUUAAAAACAUUUCCAUACUCAUACAAUAUGUAUGGUAGUACCUGCUCUAUGUUGGAUGAUAAAUGGCCGCAGUAUCUUGACUGUGCGAAGGUAGCAUAAUUAAUUGCCUUAUAAUUGAAGGCUUGUUUGAAUGGUUUGACGCGGUAAAUACAAACAUUUGAAAAAUUUUUGAAAUUAAUGUGGAGGGCACAGAAUCCUCCUUUUUUAAUUAGACGGAAAGACCCCAGGAUCUUUCAGUUUUGUCUGGGGCAGAUACAAGUAUUUCACUUUUAUUGUGACCCGACUAGUUUGGUGAGUAAGUUACCCUGGGGAUAACAGUGUAAUAGUUUAUUAGAGGUCUUAUCGAAUAAACUGUUUGCUACCUCGAUGUUGACUUAGGUAAAUAGGCUAGGCGCAGUAGUUUAGCAUUAUGGUCUGUUCGACCAUUUAUACCUCCAUGAGUUGAGUUAAGACCGGCGUGAGCCAGGUCGGUUCUUAUCUAUUGUUGUGGCUUGCUAGUACGAAAGGAUUGCAAGUUAUUUUUUU